rnacentral:rRNA from 1 species
UACGGAGGGUGCAAGCGUUACUCGGAAUCACUGGGCGUAAAGAGCGUGUAGGCGGGUAUAUAAGUCAGAAGUGAAAUCCUAUAGCUUAACUAUAGAGCUGCUUUUGAAACUGUAUACCUAGAAUGUGGGAGAGGUAGAUGGAAUUUCUGGUGUAGGGGUAAAAUCCGUAGAGAUCAGAAGGAAUACCGAUUGCGAAGGCGAUCUACUGGAACAUUAUUGACGCUGAGACGCGAAAGCGUGGGGAGCAAACAGGAUUAGAUACCCUGGUAGUCCACGCCCUAAACGAUGUACACUAGUUGUUGUGAGGCUCGACCUUGCAGUAAUGCAGUUAACACAUUAAGUGUACCGCCUGGGGAGUACGGUCGCAAGAUUAAAACUCAAAGGAAUAGACGGGGACCCGCACAAGCGGUGGAGCAUGUGGUUUAAUUCGACGAUACACGAAGAACCUUACCUGGACUUGACAUAGUAAGAACUUUCUAGAGAUAGAUUGGUGUCUGCUUGCAGAAACUUAUAUACAGGUGCUGCACGGCUGUCGUCAGCUCGUGUCGUGAGAUGUUGGGUUAAGUCCCGCAACGAGCGCAACCCUCGUCAUUAGUUGCUAACAGUUCGGCUGAGAACUCUAAUGAGACUGCCUACGCAAGUAGGAGGAAGGUGAGGACGACGUCAAGUCAUCAUGGCCCUUACGUCCAGGGCUACACACGUGCUACAAUGGGGUAUACAAAGAGCAGCAAUACGGUGACGUGGAGCAAAUCUCAAAAAUAUCUCCCAGUUCGGAUUGUAGUCUGCAACUCGACUACAUGAAGUUGGAAUCGCUAGUAAUCGUAGAUCAGCUAUGCUACGGUGAAUACGUUCCCGGGUC